rnacentral:rRNA from 1 species
AGAGUUUGAUCCUGGCUCAGGAUGAACGCUAGCUACAGGCUUAACACAUGCAAGUCGAGGGGCAGCAUGGUCUUAGCUUGCUAAGGCUGAUGGCGACCGGCGCACGGGUGAGUAACACGUAUCCAACCUGCCGUCUACUCUUGGCCAGCCUUCUGAAAGGAAGAUUAAUCCAGGAUGGGAUCAUGAGUUCACAUGUCCGCAUGAUUAAAGGUAUUUUCCGGUAGACGAUGGGGAUGCGUUCCAUUAGAUAGUAGGCGGGGUAACGGCCCACCUAGUCAACGAUGGAUAGGGGUUCUGAGAGGAAGGUCCCCCACAUUGGAACUGAGACACGGUCCAAACUCCUACGGGAGGCAGCAGUGAGGAAUAUUGGUCAAUGGACGAGAGUCUGAACCAGCCAAGUAGCGUGAAGGAUGACUGCCCUAUGGGUUGUAAACUUCUUUUAUAAAGGAAUAAAGUCGGGUAUGCAUACCCGUUUGCAUGUACUUUAUGAAUAAGGAUCGGCUAACUCCGUGCCAGCAGCCGCGGUAAUACGGAGGAUCCGAGCGUUAUCCGGAUUUAUUGGGUUUAAAGGGAGCGUAGAUGGAUGUUUAAGUCAGUUGUGAAAGUUUGCGGCUCAACCGUAAAAUUGCAGUUGAUACUGGAUGUCUUGAGUGCAGUUGAGGCAGGCGGAAUUCGUGGUGUAGCGGUGAAAUGCUUAGAUAUCACGAAGAACUCCGAUUGCGAAGGCAGCUUACUAACCUGUAACUGACAUUGAUGCUCGAAAGUGUGGGUAUCAAACAGGAUUAGAUACCCUGGUAGUCCACACGGUAAACGAUGAAUACUCGCUGUUUGCGAUAUACGGCAAGCGGCCAAGCGAAAGCGUUAAGUAUUCCACCUGGGGAGUACGCCGGCAACGGUGAAACUCAAAGGAAUUGACGGGGGCCCGCACAAGCGGAGGAACAUGUGGUUUAA